rnacentral:rRNA from 1 species
AUUGAACGCUGGCGGCAGGCCUAACACAUGCAAGUCGAGCGAGCGGCGGACGGGUGAGUACUGUAUGGGGACUGCCCGAUAGAGGGGGAUAACUGCUGGACACGGUUGCUAAUCCCGCAUACUGUCGGAUAACCCAUAUGGGGUUAGCUAGUAGGUAAGGUUAUGGCGUACCUAGGCGACGAUCCCUAUCUGGUCUGAGAGGAUGAUCAGCCAGACGGGGACUGAGACCCGGCCCAGACUUCUACGGAGGCAGGAGUGGGGAAUACAGCACAAUGGGCGCAAGCCUGAUGCAUCCAUGCCGAGUUUCUGAAGAAGUCCUUAGGGUGGUAAAGUACUUUCAGUCGGGAGGCGUUAUCGACAGAAGAAGCACCGGCUAACUCCGUGCCAGCAGCCGCGGUAAUUC